rnacentral:rRNA from 1 species
CCUACGGGAGGCAGCAGUGGGGAAUAUUGCACAAUGGGGGAAACCCUGAUGCAGCGACGCCGCGUGAGUGAAGAAGUAUUUCGGUAUGUAAAGCUCUAUCAGCAGGGAAGAAAAUGACGGUACCUGACUAAGAAGCCCCGGCUAACUACGUGCCAGCCGCCGCGGUAAUACGUAGGGGGCAAGCGUUAUCCGGAUUUACUGGGUGUAAAGGGAGCGUAGACGGUGCUGCAAGUCCGAAGUGAAAGCCCGGGGGUCAACUCCGGGACUGCUUUUGAAACUGUGUGACUGGAGUGCAGGAGAGGUAGGCGGAAUUCGUGGUGUAGCGGUGAAAUGCGUAGAUAUCAGGAGGAACACCAGUGGCGAAGGCGGCUUACUGGACUGUAACUGACGUUGAGGCUCGAAGGCGUGGGGAGCAAACAGGAUUAGAUACCCCAGUAGUC